AUUGAACGCUGGCGGCAGGCUUAACACAUGCAAGUCGAGCGAGUGGCGGACGGGUGAGUAAUGUCUGGGAAACUGCCUGAUGGAGGGGGAUAACUACUGGAAACGGUAGCUAAUACCGCAUACCAUCGGAUGUGCCCAGAUGGGAUUGGCUUGUAGGUGGGGUAACGGCUCACCCAGGCGACGAGCCCUAGCUGGUCUGAGAGGAUGACCCGCCACACUGGAACUGAGACACGGUCCAGACUCCUACGGGAGGCAGCAGUGGGGAAUAUUGCACAAUGGGAGCAAGCCUGAUGCAGCCAUGCCGCGUGUAUGAAGAAGGCCUUCGGGUUGUAAAGCACUUUCAGCGGGGAGGCGUUACUCGCAGAAGAAGCACCGGCUAACUCCGUGCCAGCAGCCGCGGUAAUUC
rnacentral:rRNA from 1 species